GUGCUUGCUUUAGCAGCACAUAUACUAAAACUGGAACAAUACAGAGAGGACCAAUAGUGUGGCCCUUGAGCAAGGGCGACACACAAAUUCAGCAAGUGUUCCAUGUUUUC
ensembl:snRNA U6 U6 spliceosomal RNA